GUAGAUUCACAUAAUAAAGUUAUUAUAAAAGCAUCGCUUCUAUAACCUUCUUACAUUAGCCGCCAUACAAUCAUUCCCCUCUCCAUACAAAGACUUUCCCAAAAUCUAGCUCAAAAUUUCUGCAAAUUAAUUCAACAGAAUCCGAUUAACACCACCUGUCGUCUCUGUUCCUCUAUGGCCGAAGAAAAUUGCAGGUAAUCUGUUUCUCCUCAGAUUUUCAUAUGCUCUCAUGGUUCGACUACUUAGAUCUGUGUAAUAACACUAGGUGAAGCACAAAUUUAUGCCAUGGUAGUCGGAAGUUUGAUUUGUUUAAGCAGAUCUCCUUCUAUGGGAAGAAGCUUAGCCGAACAACAUCUUGCUACAAUGAAAAUUUGGGGCAGUCAAAUGGUCUCUCCAAGUUGGAAUGGGUGGUCUCGGAAAUACAGUUUUAGGUUGGUUUGCUGUAAAAUAAGCUUUUUAUACGUAAUGGUCGGGAGGAUUUGAUACAUGGUAAAAUGUAGAAAUAAUUGAAUAAUAUUUUAACUCUUGAAAGAUAGGUGGGGUAGGCAAAACCAACAUCAAAUAAUGAUGUUUUAAUCUUUAAAAGAUUAAAAUUCGAUUUGGAAAUAAUUCAACUAAUAACGGUUGAUAUAGAAAUUACAAAAUAUUCAAAACUUUUGUUUUGAGUCAAGAUUAUGUAUGAAAAUUUGAAUUAUUUAUCAAAAAAUGAAGAUUUAGGUUAUUUUGAAAUGAAAAAGUGGUACAUAUACGGUAGAGAUUGUCAUUUGACAAAACAUGAAAAAAAAAGAUAAAUGUAAAUUUGUUGAUUGAAAUUAAAAUAGUUUCUUUUAUAUAGAUUGUGGUAUAUAUGUAUAAAUAUUGUAUUGGUAAUGUUUUAAUUUGUGGGUGUUUUUUGGUUUUGUAAUCCUAAUUAUUCAUAGGUUGAUUAUACCAUCAUUUAAAACAAUUAUAUAUGUAUGGUUUCUUUAAAGUGAAAUGUGAAAUAUAUAAUAUGCUAUGUUAUUUUUAACAUGGUUUGGGUGGUUUACUCUCCAAAAUUGCAUCCUUAAACUAGUAAAGCAAACAUUAUAUUUAAGUAUCAUUUUAUAUCAAACACCACUAAAUGUUCGGGCCACAAUGACCAAUAUUAAAGGUAAAAUUAUUUGGCAUCUUGAUGUUUGAGGGUGAAAAGUAACAUACCAAAACCCCUUAGUGAGGUUUGUAUCAAAUAGGAAAAUGAUCUAUUUUCCUAUUCUAAUUAAAAGGAAAAAAUAUAUACAAAUACAAUAUUAGGUUUUUUCCUUCUUUUUGAACAAGAAGUUUUAUAAAUAAAAACGGCCAAUAUGGAGCUGAAAAGGGAACUAUAAAAACAGCUUCAUUUCUAGCAUUUCAUUUUAUCCACCAUAUGGUACCAAACAGUGCAUCAGUGAGUUUUUUUAUUCGACCAUCUUGUGUAGAGAAUGCAUUGCAAGCUUCCAACAAACUUUUAAAGGUGAUUUUGGGCCAAAACCCAAGCCAAACCAUUUGAUAGCCCCUAAUCAAAAUAUCAAAUUGCAUAUAGUACAUUGCAAAUACUAUUACAUUUAUUUUUCUUUCAACUUAAAGAAAAUUAUAACCUACUGUGCACAAAAUCACAUAACCUAACAACUGGCUUCAAGGAGAACACACACUACUGGCAA
rnacentral:lncRNA from 1 species